GAUGAACGCUGGCGGCGUGCCUAAUACAUGCAAGUCGAGCGAACGGACGAGAAGCUUGCUUCUCUGAUGUUAGCGGCGGACGGGUGAGUAACACGUGGAUAACCUACCUAUAAGACUGGGAUAACUUCGGGAAACCGGAGCUAAUCCCGGAUGAUAUUUUGCACCGCAUGGUUCAAAAGUGAAAGACGGUCUUGCUGUCACUUAUAGCUGGAUCCGCGCUGCAUUAGCUAGUUGGUAAGGUAACGGCUUAUCAAGGCAACGAUGCGUAGCCGACCUGAGAGGGGGAUCGGCCACACUGGAGCGGGAACACGGUCAAGGGGACUACGGGAGGCAGCAGUAGGGAAUCGUCCGCAAUGGUCGAAAGCCUGACGGAGCGACGCCGCGUGAGUGAUGAAGGUCUUCGGAUCGUAAUACUCUGUUAUGAGGGAAGAACAGAUGUGGAAUGAACUGUGCACAGCUUGACGGUACCGAGUCAAAAAGCCACGGCUAACUACGUG
rnacentral:rRNA from 1 species